GGACUACUCGGGUUUCUAAUCCUGUUUGCUCCCCUAGCUUUCGUUCCUCAGCGUCAGUUGUGAUCCAGCUCGCCGCUUUCGCCACGGGUGUUCCUGCAGAUAUCUACGCAUUUCACCGCUACACCUGCAAUUCCACGAGCCUCUCUCACACUCAAGCACAGCAGUUUUGGAAGCAGCCUCUAGGUUGAGCCUAGAGAUUUCACUCCCAACUUGCCACACCGCCUACGAACCCUUUACACCCAGUAAUUCCGAACAACGCUGGCCCCCUACGUCUUACCGCGGCGGCUGGCAC
rnacentral:rRNA from 1 species